UCUAUCUUCAAGUGGAGCAACUCUCGUGUGCUUGAGGUCAUAUGUGUGAUAUUUUGUAUUAUUUAUCAUCUACAUAGAGUAACACGUUUAUCUUUUGAGUUAUUUUUCUUUGUCAGGCACUCAGAACUGGUUUGUGUUGAUAAGCUGGCUGAACACCCUUAUUUUACAAGAUCUAAGGCUCCCAAAGAUUCCUUCCCCG
rnacentral:lncRNA from 1 species